UAAUAAAAAACAGUGUUACCCCUUAUGGUUUUUUUCAUGACGACCAAUAAAAACGACAGUGUUACCCCUUAUGUUUUUUUUCAUGACGACCAAUGAAAAAACGACAGUGCUACCCCUUAUGUUUUUUUUCAUGACGACCAAUAAAAAACAGUGUUACCCCUUAUGGUUUUUUUCAUGACAACCAAUAAAAAAAGGACAUGUUACCCCUUAUGUUUUUUUUCAUGACGACCAAUAAAAAAAGACAGUGUUACCCCUUAUGUUUUUUUUCAUGACGACCAAUAAAAAACA
ensembl:lncRNA